rnacentral:rRNA from 1 species
AUUGAACGCUGGCGGCAGGCCUAACACAUGCCAGUCGAGCGGAUGAAGGGAGCUUGCUCCUGGAUUCAGCGGCGGACGGGUGAGUAAUGCCUAGGAAUCUGCCUGGUAGUGGGGGAUAACGUCCGGAAACGGACGCUAAUACCGCAUACGUCCUGAGGGAGAAAGUGGGGGAUCUUCGGACCUCACGCUAUCAGAUGAGCCUAGGUCGGAUUAGCUAGUUGGUGGGGUAAAGGCCUACCAAGGCGACGAUCCGUAACUGGUCUGAGAGGAUGAUCAGUCACACUGGAACUGAGACACGGUCCAGACUCCUACGGGAGGCAGCAGUGGGGAAUAUUGGACAAUGGGCGAAAGCCUGAUCCAGCCAUGCCGCGUGUGUGAAGAAGGUCUUCGGAUUGUAAAGCACUUUAAGUUGGGAGGAAGGGCAGUAAGUUAAUACCUUGCUGUUUUGACGUUACCAACAGAAUAAGCACCGGCUAACUUCGUG